GAGCCGUGACUGACGGUGAGGCCCCGCUCGCCGCCACACGUUCCCGCUGCACGGCCCGCUGGGCCUCCCCCGAGACCUGUGGCCUCCCAGCCCGCUUCCGGGAACCCCUCGGCCUCCCCGGCCGCUUCGCCAGAGCGCUUCGGCCUUCCCGACCUCUCCCCGGAGCCCCGGGCCUCCCCGGCUGCUUCCCUGAGUCCUUCCUCCUCUCGCCAGAGCCCGAGCGCCCCUCGGAGCCCCUCGGCUUCCCCCGCCCGCUCUCCCGGAGGCAGCGCGGGACUAUAGGACGAAGUUAUACGGAAGCGUCUCCUCAUUGAUGGAGAUGGUGCUGGAGAUGAUCGGAGAAUUAAUCUGCUAGUGAAGAGUUUCAUUAAAUGGUGCAACUCUGGGUCCCAGGAAGAGGGCUAUAGCCAGUACCAGCGUAUGCUGAGCACGCUGUCUCAAUGUGAAUUUUCAAUGGGCAAAACUUUACUAGUAUAUGAUAUGAAUCUCAGAGAAAUGGAAAAUUAUGAAAAAAUUUACAAGGAAAUAGAAUGUAGCAUAGCUGGAGCACAUGAAAAAAUUGCUGAGUGCAAAAAGCAAAUUCUUCAAGCCAAACGAAUACGAAAAAAUCGCCAAGAAUAUGAUGCUUUGGCAAAAGUGAUUCAGCACCAUCCAGACAGGCAUGAGACAUUAAAGGAACUAGAGGCUCUGGGAAAAGAAUUAGAGCAUCUUUCACACAUUAAAGAAAGUGUUGAAGAU
rnacentral:sRNA from 1 species